GUUCGACAGUGCGACUAAUACAAUACCGAAAGGGAAUAAGUCCGCUGGAUUCUUGACCAGUUUUGAGCUGUCGAACGCCCGAUU
rnacentral:ncRNA from 1 species